rnacentral:rRNA from 1 species
ACGAAGUCUUCGGACUGAGUGGCGGACGGGUGAGUAACGCGUGAGAAUCUGCCUAGAGGUCGGGGACAACCAUUGGAAACGAUGGCUAAUACCGGAUAUGCCUUACGGGGUGAAAGAUUAAUUGCCUUUAGAAGAGCUCGCGUCUGAUUAGCUAGUUGGUGAGGUAAGAGCUCACCAAGGCAGCGAUCAGUAGCUGGUCUGAGAGGAUGACCAGCCACACUGGGACUGGGACACGGCCCAGACUCCUACGGGAGGCAGCAGUGGGGAAUUUUCCGCAAUGGGCGAAAGCCUGACGGAGCAAGACCGCGUGAGGGAGGAAGGCUCUUGGGUUGUAAACCUCUUUUGUCAGGGAAGAACAAAAUGACGGUACCUGACGAAUCAGCAUCGGCUAACUCCGUGCCAGCAGCCGCGGUAAUACGGAGGAUGCAAGCGUUAUCCGGAAUUAUUGGGCGUAAAGCGUCCGCAGGUGGCUGAUCAAGUCUGCGGUCAAAGACCGGGGCUUAACCCUGGAAAGGCCGUGGAAACUGAUAGAGCUAGAGUACCGUAGGGGUAGAGGGAAUUCCCGGUGUAGCGGUGAAAUGCGUAGAGAUCGGGAAGAACAUCGGUGGCGAAAGCGCUCUACUGGACGGUGACUGACACUCAGGGACGAAAGCUAGGGGAGCGAAUGGGAUUAGAUACCCCAGUAGUCCUAGCCGUA